rnacentral:lncRNA from 1 species
UUGCAAUUUUCCCCUGUUCAUUGCAAAAAAGGAAUUCCAUGGUUUGAUGUCCUCUAUAGCUGAACGUAGAAGGCGUUGAAAAUGUGACCUUCACUGUACAACUUUAUUGCAGAGGUUCGUUUUGGAUUUCCCUUCACUUCUGUUUAUUUUUUUCUUUAACAGACCUUAGAAAGAGAAGCUGCUUCUGAUACAGAUAUAUCCAUUGAGCGUAUAAAAAUGCUGAUGAAGGCAUCCUUUACCGUCCGACGUCAGGAAGCACUGAGAGUGAUGCCCACAUGUAUGCUACACGAAGAAUUGGUUGCAUUUGAAAGCGAAUUGAUGUUUGGACGCAGGAUUGAAGAAAAUGAGCAAAAAUUGAAAAGGUUCCUUGAGGUCGCAUCAAAAGUACUAAAAUUUACUGAGCCAUCAUACGUCUCUUUAGACACGUACCUGCGACCCAGGUUUGCGAAGCGUGCUCUCAUGGCUACGCCAUCUCCAAGUGAUUAUAUUGGACCGUGCAUAGUCUGGGGGGAAAGGAGACUCCUCAUUUGUGGCAGAGAGAAGGAAACCAUUGAAAUGAGUAAAGACACGUCUCUAGAGAAGGCACUUGUGAUGUGCCUUUGCAUUUACUAUAAAAGACCUCACAUAUCCAGCUGUGUAUGGCCAACUGCUUGGAUUCGUCCAAUCGAUCAUUAAGCCGGGCUGCAGCAAGGAAAUGUCAUGGGCCAACACAAGAUUGAGAAGUUUGUUCACUUCGUUGAAGAUAUAAGAGAGAGAAUAAACGUUUAUUAACUGUUCCUAAAUUUAACUAAAUUGGGUGGUGCCCUUCGUCCAGGGCUCCACUGGCUAUAGCGGCUCGCCGGGCCUGGUCCAGGGUUGCCAGUUGGCUUCCCAAGGCCUGAUCCGAGAGUCGCGCCUCCCACGACCAGUAUGGUAAUGUGUGUGUUUUUAUGAGUGCAGAGUUCGCCGCAGCAGGACGCGAGGGACAGCUGUAUGUAAUAUGCUUGAGUGAUUGGUAUCCCUCCGCACCAGGGGCACUCGUCGCGAUAUUCAGAGAGUUGUAUCUUCGAAAGUGUGUGUAGGUUGGGGUAUGUGCUAGUCUGCAGGCGGCGCCAGUCUCUAGACUGCUCUCUGUUCAGUUUUGGGUGAGGUGGUGCCAUGGUGCGUCGCUCCAGCCGUUGAUUGCAGAUAUAAAGAGACGAUGUAUGCCAACUUCAGCAUCCUCAACAUUAUGAAAAUGUUUCAGCGCUCACCUCUAACU